rnacentral:lncRNA from 1 species
AUUUAGUAUUUAAUUGUGGAUUUGUAUCACUUAAACACUGAAUGUCAAAGUCUUAUUGGGUAAUUUUCUAACCACAUAAGUACAGAAGUCCUUCAGGUUUCUGGGAUGUUUCACUCAAUCAGCCUCAGGUGUGUAGGGAAUUAAUGUAAUUGAGCCAAAGCAAUCUCAAUCUGGUCUACUUCGCUCUGGUCUUACCUGCCCUUACCUCUCCUGAUCUGGCCUCCCCUUACUUCUCCUAUAAUUCUCAGGUUCCAGCCAUCCAGUCACCAUGAAGAUCCUGUAUCUGGUGUUUUUGAUGCUCUUUGUGAUCUCCUAUGCUGGCACAGGUCUAGCUGGCCAAUCAUCAUGAGGAUUCUCAUCAUGGUAUUUAUGAUGCUCUUUGUGAUCUUCUCCUAUGCUGGCACAGGCUAUGGUGGAUUUGACAGUUUCAUAUGUGCAAUGAGAGGGGGCAGUUGUGAGAAUGAGCUUUGUAUCUUUCCUCUUAUUAAAAUGGGCACCUGCGGUAAAAAGAGAACUCACUGUUGCCUUUACAUUCCAAUGUUAUUGAAAUAUAAAAGUAGUGAGUUAAAAGUGUAGAAGAUGGGAGAAGUUGAAAUCAAAUUUUUUUCAUUCUUGUUUUAAUAAACAAACUCACUUUUGAAAACUAUGCUUUCUAAGGCAAAAAUGAUUCUUGUGUCACUGUUCAUUUGAAGAGGU